rnacentral:rRNA from 1 species
GACGAACGCUGGCGGCGUGCUUAACACAUGCAAGUCGAGCGGUAAGGCCCUUUCGGGGGUACACGAGCGGCGAACGGGUGAGUAACACGUGGGCGACCUGCCCUCAGCUCUGGGAUAAGCCUGGGAAACCGGGUCUAAUACUGGAUAUGACUCCAUGACGCAUGUUGUGGGGUGGAAAGCCUUGUGCGGCUGAGGAUGGGCCCGCGGCCUAUCAGCUUGUUGGUGGGGUGAGGCCUACCAAGGCGACGACGGGUAGCCGGCCUGAGAGGGCGACCGGCCACACUGGGACUGAGACACGGCCCAGACUCCUACGGGAGGCAGCAGUGGGGAAUCUUGCGCAAUGGGCGAAAGCCUGACGCAGCGACGCCGCGUGAGGGAUGACGGCCU